CAGUAGCCACGGUAAUACGAAGGGUGCAAGCGUUAAUCGGAAUUACUGGGCGUAAAGCGUGCGUAGGCGGUUUGUUAAGUCUGUUGUGAAAUCCCCGAGCUUAACUUGGGAACUGCAUUUGAAACUGGCAAGCUAGAGUCUUGUAGAGGGGGGUAGAAUUCCAGGUGUAGCGGUGAAAUGCGUAGUGAUCUGGAGGAAUACCGGUGGCGAAGGCGGCCCCCUGGACAAAGACUGACGCUCAGGUGCGAAAGCGUGGGGAGCAAACAGGAUUAGAUACCCCUGUAGUCCCUGUCUCUUAUAC
rnacentral:rRNA from 1 species